UUGUAUGGCCACCACAGGGGACUCGGAAAUUAUACCUCCGUUGGAAGAACAGCCCUUUCAAAGGGGACAAAAGGACCCUUUUUUGAAGAAAAAAGGAAGUGGAGGGGGGUUGUUUAAAAAGGGAGCAAGUGACACGUUUGGUCUUUUCACAGCCCAAGAACCAACCCAGCGGCAAUGGCAGCAGGAUUUGUGUAGGCUGGGAGACCCAGAAGCCCCCAGCGAGCAAAACAGUUUGGAUGAGUAAAUGACUCUCCAGUGAGCAAAUACAGCUGCAGGCAAAAUGGAGACUGUAAGGAGAGACAGACCUGUGAUUUUAGAUCUGUUUGGAGUACAGUCAUACCUUGGAAGCUGAAUGCCUUGGCUCCCGAACAAAUUGGCUCCUGAACAAUCGAAACCCAGACGAAACUGAGCCUGUGCUGGACCUCAUCCAGAACCCCUGGCCUACCUGGCAGCAAGUCAGUAUGUCAAGUCCCCAUCCAGGGUCAAUCCACAUGUCCAAAGUCCAAACCAAAGCUCCGUCCCACAGAGAUCCUGGAGCAUCCAAGUUGAGGUCCAUCGCCAUGGGCAGUUGAGUAGGCUCAACAUCCCAGCUCUGCUGCCCUUUUAAAGUUUGCAUG